rnacentral:rRNA from 1 species
GCUUGUCUCAAAGAUUAAGCCAUGCAUGUGUAAGCACAAGCCGUAUAAUGGGAAACCCGCGAAUGGCUCGGUAAAACAGCCACCGUUUAUUAGUCGUGAGUUAUCUACUCGGAUAACUGUGGCAAUUCUAGAGCUAAUACGUGCACGAAGGCUCGGACCUUUUGGGAAGAGCGCAUUUAUUAGACCAAAACCAAUCGAGCUUCGGCCUGAGUUUUGGUGACUCUGAAUAACUAAGUUGAUCGCACAGUCUUAGUACCGGCGACGCAUCUUUCAAAUGUCUGCCUUAUCAACUUUCGAUGGUAGUUUAUACGCCUACCAUGGUUAUAACGGGUAACGGAGAAUAAGGGUUCGACUCCGGAGAGGGAGCCUGAGAAACGGCUACCACAUCCAAGGAAGGCAGCAGGCGCGCAAAUUACUAAGGGGCAGAAGGGGAGUAGUGCGAAAAUCCCCUAAAGGGCUUGGGCCGCAUGGAA